AAGAUACUAAUGAAGACGGCAUUUUGCCACGGUGUCUUGAAUUCUGCUCGGUUCACACAGAAAUAUUUGAAAAGAACAGCGCCCACGUGGUUUAUAAAUAAGAAGUGGAAUUCGCCAAUCUUGUACAAGCCUUCAGCGGGGCACAACUUCGAAAAGAGAGAUUCCCUGGCAGAAUUGGAUUUUGCGACCGCCAUUUUGCAUCCCGUACAAAUAUAUAUGUCCUGCAGGUGCCUCAAGACUUUGCUGUACUUGGAAAUGCUUCCCAGCUGAUGGAUUUAGCAAACCGUGGAGGUGCAUGUAAUACAAAAAUAUCAAAAAGGACUGGAAGCCAUGGUCAUCAGUUAUAAAGCUUUAUACUAUUUAUGUACUCUGMAAAAUCGUUGUUGUUUUGAAGUCUAUGUAAACAUAUAUAUUUAACAUACACUGUUUAAUAUUAAAUACAUGGAUGCU